GAUGAACGCUGCCAGAAUGCUUAACACAUGCAAGUCUUUGGCGAAUCUGUGCUUGCACAGGCUAGCCAAGGCGGACGGGUGAGUAACGCGUAAAGAACUUGCCCUGCAGACAGGGAUAACAGACGGAAACGACUGAUAACACCUGAUACAGUUGCCGGCACGCAUGUGCCUGGCAAUGAAAAGAGAUGCUGCAGGAGAGCUUUGCGUCCUAUUAGCUUGUUGGUGAGGUGACGGCUCACCAAGGCGAUGAUAGGUAGCCGGCCUGAGAGGGUGAACGGCCACAAGGGGACUGAGAUACGGCACUUACUCCUACGGGAGGCAGCAGUGGGGAAUAUUGGACAAUGGGGGCAACCCUGAUCCAGCAAUUCUGUGUGCACGAAGAAGGUUUUCGGAUUGUAAAGUGCUUUCAGCAGGGAAGAAGAAAGUGACGGUACCUGCAGAAGAAGCGACGGCUAAAUACGUG
rnacentral:rRNA from 1 species